CUGUUUCCAGUGUACCUACACUUUCAUUUUUUAUUUAUUUUUUAGAAUUGAUGUACUUGAAAAAAAAAUUGGUUUUGCAUUCUUUGGCUAUCAAUUUCUCAUUUUCUAGUUUAGCCACUGUAACGGCACCCUCAGCAUAAAAGGGUUAAACCACCGUUUAGUAGAUCUUCCCUUCCAGAGAAACAGGCACAGCUACUGUAGAACAUCAAUCCGCCAAAAAG